rnacentral:rRNA from 1 species
CCUACGGGGAGCUGCAGUGGGGAAUAUUGGACAAUGGGCGAAAGCCUGAUCCAGCCAUGCCGCGUGUGUGAAGAAGGCCUUCGGGUUGUAAAGCACUUUCAGUGGGGAAGAAAGCCUUGGGGCUAAUACCCUCGAGGAAGGACAUCACCCACAGAAGAAGCACCGGCUAACUCUGUGCCAGCAGCCGCGGUAAUACGGAGGGUGCGAGCGUUAAUCGGAAUUACUGGGCGUAAAGCGCGCGUAGGCGGUCUGAUAAGCCGGUUGUGAAAGCCCCGGGCUCAACCUGGGAACGGCAUCCGGAACUGUCAGGCUAGAGUGCAGGAGAGGAAGGUAGAAUUCCCGGUGUAGCGGUGAAAUGCGUAGAGAUCGGGAGGAAUACCAGUGGCGAAGGUGGCCUUCUGGACUGACACUGACGCUGAGGUGCGAAAGCGUGGGUAGCAAACAGGAUUAGAUACCCGGGUAGUC